GACACCCAGAAGGAGCGGCCAGCAUUCAGGAGCCCAGGGGCGGCCCCUGAGUUGGAGGAGGGAAGGUCGGUUGGUUAUGGGGCAUGGUGCCAGCAGGAGGAAUGGGGUACAAGCUGGACAGCACUGAGGUCAGAAGGUAUGUCCAACCUCCAGCACUCACGGGGAGCCCAUGCAUCCCAGAGGAGAUAUGACAUAUGGUCCAACAUCUCUGCAGAGGACACACCAUCAUGUGACAGUACCAAAAGGUUGGCUACCCCACAUUUGUAGGGGACCUCCCACCUCAGCCUCCCUGGAAUUCUUACACCCUUCAGCCUCAUCAGACUCUUGGGAAAGCCUGGCCUUGCAUGGUUCCUGACCCCCUCAACACCAUACAAUUAGGCUUCAAAGCCUAUGCUACUACAAGGAGGAAUGAGUCCCUGACUCCUGUAAAGCUGUCUUCCUGCAGUGCCAUGUGUCUGGGCCUACUUUACUACCAUUCCGGUCAACCAGCACUGUGAUUACACAUUUACAGGCCCUCCGCUCUUCCUCUAUAGUGGAUCUUUAAGCAAAGGUGUGUGAGUGUGAUUGGCUGUGGUCUAGUCCCUGGUCCCUGGUAAAUACCAGGUUCCUGAUACAUGUGUGUUGAGUUAAUGAAUGUCCCUGGUAAAUGGCAAGUUCCUGAUACAUGUGUGUUGAGUUAAUGAAUUGAUGACUGGGAAAGGGGCCCAAAUAAACGAUCUCUACUAAGG